AUGGCUGCCAACCAAGGAGGGCUCCAGCUCUCAAUCAUAGAGAAGAAGAAACCUUUUGGUCAUCAUUUCUGUGUCCGGAUGACCAAAAGCCUUCUUCUUUGUCCAGAGCUGACUGUCCCACUAACUGAACCCACAGACACCAUGACUUUCAUCAGCAUCUUCAUCUGGACACUGACUCUCUGUUUUCAUGAGUCCAAUGGACAGGUGACUGUGACUCAGACUCCUGAGGUGAAAUCUGCUCUUCCAGGAGACACAGUCACUAUCAACUGUAAAACCAGUCCUGCAGUGCAUUACUGGAGUUCCUAUGGUCACUACCGGUACUACCUGCACUGGUACCAACGGAAACCUGGACAGGCUCCUAAACUCCUCAUUACAUUUGCUAAGCAGUUAGAGUCAGGAAUUCCAGAUCGUUUCAGUGGCAGUGGAUCUAGGACUGACUUCACUCUGACCAUCAGAGGAGUCCAGACUGAAGAUGCAGGAGAUUAUUACUGUCAGAGUGAACAUAGCAUCAGUGGUAAAUAUCUGUUCACACAGUGA